ensembl:lncRNA
GGGCUCACCACAAGUACUGUCAGAAGCUCAUCAGCCACAUUUGGGGCAGUUCUAUGGUCACAACCAAGAGAGAGACCCUUUUUGAUAGGGACCAACGCACCCCUUCCUGCACUGGUGUGGGGAAGGUAAAUGUGUUCUGUCUUUGACCUGCUGCUUUGCUUAAUUCAAUCUAGAUAAAUGUGGCUGUAGCCUGUAACUGUUUACUGGAUGGUAACUACCGACAAGGUCUGCUAGUCUGAAUACAGACCUCAAGCAGCUGAGGAAAGGGAUGCGAUGACAAAGGUAGCUGUAAUAGCAGGAUAAAGGGAAAGCCUCUUCCCUUCCUGUGCUGUUAUAACAAACAAGUGGAUUUAGUCUUUUCCCCAGUGGGAACACCACGUAACAAUAACAGAAAUCACCCCAUAAAUGGCAGCACUCCCAAGUUUCCAUACCCUUCUGGUGCUGUUCGAAGCCCUUUUCGAGCAGAUGCUGCGAUUGUCCCCAACCUUCUGGCAUCUGCCCUUGCACAGUGAGCCCAGCGUAUGUCCCCACACGUGUGCACGCUGGCAUCAACACACUCGUAGUCCUGCAGGUCCUGCUUGGAACGGGUCCUGCUGUUCCCCACUGCAAAUUGUUCCACCUCGCCCUGCUGGAAGGCUGCCCGCACACACACAGGCACAGCGCUUCCAAAAGACCGAGUUGUCCUGAAAAUCUAGCUUAAAGUUUUACUGAUUGUAACAGAAUAACUGGUUUUCACAGAUGAGUAAGAGCAGAUACUGGUGUUUUUAUUAAUUGCUACCAUCAAGCUUCGUUGUACUUUCGAGCUGAAUGAGUGUCUGAGGCUGGAUGGAGCUCAGAGCCUCCCUUCCCACCUGUCUGGGUCAGCCAGUGUGUGGGCAGCUGGCACUGCCCCCACCCCGUUCUUCUGGUCUGUGUGCAUGCAGCAGCUUUCACAGCCCCAAGCUCACCGCUUUUGGCCAGAACUGAAUUCACGUCAGGUGCAUCUGCAGACGUGUGCGGUCAGCCGUUCCAAGAAGGAAAUCACCAUCAGAGAUGCAGAGAAGAAUCAGCCUUUGGUAGGAAAUCACCUCAACUGCUCUCAAGUAGAAAAGGUGCUGCCCCGAGAGGAACCUUUCCGGUUUCGGUUUGCUGCAUUUUCUUCUGAAAAAGAGUGGAAAGUGAGAAGUCCUGGAAGAAUCUCCCAUGGGAAGGCAACGAUGCAGUUACCACUUCCAGCUCCUAUUUGUGCAGAUUUUAAUCAAAACUGCCCAUCAAAGGGGAAAAAAGGACCCCAGAGGCCUUUCUGUAAAUGUCCUCAUGGAACCAGUUGUACUCCUGUGCUUGUAAAUCUCCCCUCUGGCAGUAAGGGAGCAGUGAAUGCCCUGUGCUUCGUGUGGGAUCUGCAGCUAUCCUGUAAGGAAUGCUGCAGCGUUGGAACCGGGGAUGGGCUGCAGUAAGGACACAUUCCUAGGAGCCACAAAGGGUUUGCUGAUAGGGAUCAGGGGCCAUAUAGCCCCUGGCUGCGCUCCAGAGGUGACCACACCGUGGCUAGAGAAAUAAGACCCCCCAGCCCCAAAGCUGUCCAAGCCUGCUGUGAACUGUUUUCAGUAAACCUCAAAAGCCUGAUCUUCUGUACUGCUCCUGUUUACCUUGUCGCCAGUAAACUUCUUGCAUCCGAGACAUUAUUGAAUACCUGGCACACGGAGGCACCUCCUCCUCCCAUUUAUCCCUCUGCACUUUAUUUGCUCUCAUAUCCCUAUAGGUAGCAUUUCUUUACCAUCAGUGGAACAACCAAGUUGCCUCCUGCAGGGGAGUCCAGGUUCACGGUGUGUGCUCGGGGUUACUGAACAGCACCAGAGCUGUUAUUGGCUUCCAGUCAUGCAUGAGAAAACUAAUUGAAGUGCAGACAUUUGGUCUGUCCCACCCUUGAUACAUUACUUAUUUUUCCAGCUCUGAGCUGUUUACACAGCACCUGACAAAGCUGAACUGAAGCAACGGAUUGAGGGGCUGGGGAACGAUGCUGUUUGUAUGGUACUGGAGGAAUCAGGGUUAGCAGGGCACUGAAGGGAAACACUGCCAGUUCACAUACAGUGUACCACUGCCCCUUUAGCACAGCACAGAUUUCAUUAUCCAGGUGGAUAAUAGGAGGAAAGGGAGGGCUAACCUCUAGAAGCCAGAACACAGAUAAGCGAGCUUGCCAGUGUUAGGAGGGGGUGAGCUGGCUCGGACCAGGUACUUUAGGAAUCAGUUUGAAUCCCCUCCAAACCUUGUGUUUUUGGGCCCAGGCAGACAAAGCAAUGCAAUCUUUCAAGCGUUCUCUGUGUUGACACAAACUGCUAAGCUUUGUGCAUGCCAAGAUAAAAAGAGGCAGCUUCCACUAGUCCAUUAUUCAGUGCUAGACAGCUUGAUUAUGAUGGAAACAAAAGACACUUUUGCAAUAUUGACAUUGUGAUCUAU